rnacentral:lncRNA from 1 species
GAAUCUUUUACUUUCACUAACACGAUAAAGCACAAAUAAUGCCACAUGUUGUGCUCUUCUUUAAUGUGCUCUUCAAAGGUGACUGUCUUGUUAUCAAACUUAUCUCUUUCCAAACCACAAAUAAAGCAAGUUGUUUUUAAAAUCUCUUCUUUCUUCUGUUUUUCACUCCUCUUUGGAUGGUUUCCUGAGCACAUCACCUAC